rnacentral:rRNA from 1 species
UGGGGAAUUUUGGACAAUGGGCGCAAGCCUGAUCCAGCCAUGCCGCGUGUGUGAAGAAGGCCUUCGGGUUGUAAAGCACUUUCGGACGGAACGAAAUCGCGCGGGUUAACAGCCCGCGUGGAUGACGGUACCGUAAGAAGAAGCACCGGCUAACUACGUGCCAGCAGCCGCGGUAAUACGUAGGGUGCGAGCGUUAAUCGGAAUUACUGGGCGUAAAGUGUGCGUAGGCGGCGUCGCAAGUCGAGUGUGAAAGCCCCGGGCUUAACUUGGGAAUUGCGCUCGAAACUACGGCGCUUGAGUGUGGCAGAGGGAGGUGGAAUUCCACGUGUAGCGGUGAAAUGCGUAGAGAUGUGGAGGAACACCAAUGGCGAAGGCAGCCUCCUGGGCCAACACUGACGCUCAUGCACGAAAGCGUGGGGAGCAA